UGGGAUUGUGGCUCAGGGGUAGAGUGCUAGUCUAGCACAUGUGAGGCCCUGGGUUGGAUCCUCAGCACAUAA
rnacentral:tRNA from 1 species